rnacentral:rRNA from 1 species
GACGAACGCUGGCGGCGUGCUUAACACAUGCAAGUCGAACGCUGAAGCUCAGCUUUUGUUGGGUGGAUGAGUGGCGAACGGGUGAGUAACACGUGAGUAACCUGCCUCCUUCUUUGGGAUAACGCCCGGAAACGGGUGCUAAUACUGGAUAUUCACUGGUCUUCGCAUGGGGGUUGGUGGAAAGGGUUUUUCUGGUGGGGGAUGGGCUCGCGGCCUAUCAGCUUGUUGGUGGGGUGAUGGCCUACCAAGGCUUUGACGGGUAGCCGGCCUGAGAGGGUGACCGGUCACAUUGGGACUGAGAUACGGCCCAGACUCCUACGGGAGGCAGCAGUGGGGAAUAUUGCACAAUGGGCGCAAGCCUGAUGCAGCGACGCCGCGUGAGGGAUGGAGGCCUUCGGGUUGUGAACCUCUUUCGCUCAUGGUCAAGCCCUAACAAUGGUUGUGGUGAGGGUAGUGGGUAAAGAAGCGCCGGCUAACUACGUG